rnacentral:tRNA from 1 species
GCCUCAGUAGCUCAGUAGGUAGAGCACAUGGCUGUUAACCAUGGGGUCGGAAGUUCGAGUCUUCCCUGAGGCG